rnacentral:sRNA from 1 species
GGGCUGGGCAAUGGUUGGUGCUUAUCAACCGCCUCUACUAACUCACUAAUCGUCGGUGUCACUUUAACCUUCUUUUUACCGCUCCAACUCUUUUUGGCUGGAAAACUGAAAGAAGAAUGAUCGUUGCGCUUCUUAGGCGAAGAUGCCUUCUUAGUCGGGGACACGGAUGAGUGUGGACCAGGUUUUGUUCGAUGUGAACGUGGUUUCAGUGGUUUCGGUGCGCAAUCUGCAGGAAACUCGAGAGGAGAAGAUCGAUUCCAACCUAUCUUUAACCAACUGGUAUUAUUUCUAGUGGACCGAGACAGAGCAGAGAGCUGCUCUUCCAGCUCAAAGGUAGCCAUGCGCAGAGAUGGAGAGCUAGAGAUUGUGCUUGAGCCGGAAGCUCGUCCUGAUUUCGAUUUGGCGUGUUUACUGGGCGCCACAUGAUAAAAGCCUGAACGACGGAAUGCCUCAUCCAAAAUAUCAAGGUCAGACGGUCGUGGGUCUCGUGGCAGGAAUACCGGUUUGCUUGUCGGCUGGAUUAACCGACCGCAAUGGGAGGCAUUGCCCAUGGGUUCUUGUCCGACGGAUUCCUCUUCAGGCCAGUGUUAUCGUCGAACACGCCGGCAGUAAUGGGAGAUAUUAACGAAUAAGCCUUGUUGUGUCUAGAACAUCCGUCUGCAACGGAUUUUUGGGGGAAGUCAUCUGAGUAUAUACUCGAUCUUGAGGAGGCUGGGCUAUUCGGCACAGAGACACUUCUACCGAGCUCGGAAGAAGUAGUUGAAUUACCACUUUUCCCAGACUGGUCCAAAAGCGGGUCCGUUUCAACUUGAAUGAGCUUGUCAAAGGAGGGAGGAACAAAAGCUCGCUGAGGCUGGGGCAUAUCGAUUGACAAAGGUGAAACAACUGUCGAAGGGGCUAGAGAUUGGAUAUAUCCAGGGGUGGC